rnacentral:ncRNA from 2 species
AAGAGCCUUCGGGGACGGGUGGAAUUCCCUACCGGCGGUAUGGAAGUUGUGACCUUCCGAGCCCGCGAGCCCUGCACUCAGGUGGUUGAUGGCAGGGUUGAUCUGGUGAGAAGCCAGGGCCGACAGUAAAAGUCUGGAUGGGAGAAGGCGUGA